UCGAAUUGAUUACAGCUCCCACUAUAAAAUUCAGAUCACUUUUUCACCAAAUUGAUACUAACAAACUGAGUUAUCAUUUUUUAGCAUUGCAAGCAUUAAAAUUCAAUUUGAUUCACCAUCUGUUUUUCAAUGACGCAUAAUUUCGCAGCCACAUUAUACACAUCUGUUCUCGAUUUACACUAAAAAUGUUGCAAUAAAACAAAUCUUGCACUUAACUCUGUAUGGAUGUUUAAGUUAAGAAUACCAAAGGCCCCAAAACCACCAAGCCGAACUUUCCACCAGACAGAUUGAUCGCACAGCAUUGAAACUUUUGGAGGGUGGCAGCCGAAGUCGAGGACUCUUUUAGCUUGUCCUUGGAAAUUCUUAUAAAUUACGAUGACAUCCGCUUGCAAGGUGCCAUAUGGGCAGUGAUGGCUGCACUCAUUUGAUCAUAACCAACGACUUCAAUACAGUACGCCCGGAAUUAAAAGAUUUACUUCAGAUCCGGGAGGUAUUACCUAUAAGAUGAAAUGUACGUAUGACUGUUGGAAGCGUCCAGGAUUAUUAUUACAUCUCAUGAAAGAGAAGACCGAAUUCAGGCGGAAAACUCUGCACAACACAAUCAAAAAUCAAUAAAUCAAAUCGACGGUCGAAUGGAAUGCGACUGUACGUAAUGGCUGCCUACAA
rnacentral:sRNA from 13 species